UCGAGUCCGCGCAUCGGAAUGAGGAUAAUUUACACCCCUUCUCGAGGAUCCAUUGGAGGGCAAGCCUGGUGCCAGCAGCCGCGGUAAUUCCAGCUCCAAUAGCGUAUAUUAAAGUUGUUGCAGUUAAAAAGCUCGUAGUUGGAUUUGUGGUGUACGGUGUGUUCCGGGCACUUGUUGUCUGAGUAAUCUGCUGUUGCCAUCCUUGGGUGGAACCUGUGUGGCAUUAGGUUGUCGUGCAGGGGAUGCCCAUCAUUUACUGUGAAAAAAUUAGAGUGUUCAAAGCAGGCUUAUGCCGUUGAAUAUAUUAGCAUGGAAUAAUGAGAUAGGACUUUUUUGCUAUUUUGUUGGUUUGCGCAAAGAGGUAAUGAUUAAUAGGGACAGUUGUGGGUAUUCGUAUUCCAUUGUCAGAGGUGAAAUUCUUGGAUUUCUGGAAGACGAACUAAUGCGAAAGCAUUUACCAAGGAUGUUUUCAUUAAUCAAGAACGAAAGUUAGGGGAUCGAAGAUGAUUAGAUACCAUCGUAGUCUUAACCAUAAACUAUGCCGACAAGGGAUUGGCGGGGUUUCGUUAC
rnacentral:rRNA from 1 species